AGAGUUUGAUCCUGGCUCAGAGCGAACGCUGGCGGCAGGCUUAACACAUGCAAGUCGAGCGGGCGUAGCAAUACGUCAGCGGCAGCCGGGUGAGUAACGCGUGGGAACAUACCUUUUGGUUCGGAACAACACAGGGAAACUUGUGCUAAUACCGGAUAAGCCCUUACGGGGAAAGAUUUAUCGCCGAAAGAUUGGCCCGCGUCUGAUUAGCUAGUUGGUGAGGUAACGGCUCACCAAGGCGACGAUCAGUAGCUGGUCUGAGAGGAUGAUCAGCCACAUUGGGACUGAGACACGGCCCAAACUCCUACGGGAGGCAGCAGUGGGGAAUAUUGGACAAUGGGCGCAAGCCUGAUCCAGCCAUGCCGCGUGAGUGAUGAAGGCCCUAGGGUUGUAAAGCUCUUUUGUGCGGGAAGAUAAUGACGGUACCGCAAGAAUAAGCCCCGGCUAACUUCGUGCCAGCAGCCGCGGUAAUACGAAGGGGGCUAGCGUUGCUCGGAAUCACUGGGCGUAAAGGGUGCGUAGGCGGGUCUUUAAGUCAGGGGUGAAAUCCUGGAGCUCAACUCCAGAACUGCCUUUGAUACUGAGGAUCUUGAGUUCGGGAGAGGUGAGUGGAACUGCGAGUGUAGAGGUGAAAUUCGUAGAUAUUCGCAAGAACACCAGUGGCGAAGGCGGCUCACUGGCCCGAUACUGACGCUGAGGCACGAAAGCGUGGGGAGCAAACAGGAUUAGAUACCCUAGUAGUCC
rnacentral:rRNA from 1 species